ACUGGAUAGGAAUAAAAAGGCAUCUUUUUAUUUUUAAAAGACCUUUUUCGGAAGGUAUGCUUAAAGAGGGGCUUGCGUCACAUUAGUUAGUUGGCAGGGUAAAGGCCUACCAAGACUAUGAUGUGUAGCUGGACUGAGAGGUUGAACAGCCACAUUGGGACUGAGACACGGCCCAAACUCCUACGGGAGGCAGCAGUAGGGAAUUUUCGGCAAUGGAGGAAACUCUGACCGAGCAACGCCGCGUGAACGAUGAAGUAUUUCGGUAUGUAAAGUUCUUUUAUUGAAGAAGAAAAAAUAGUGGAAAAACUAUCUUGACGAUAUUCAAUGAAUAAGCCCCGGCAAACUAUGUGCCAGCAGCCGCGGUAAUACAUAGGGGGCGAGCGUUAUCCGGAAUUAUUGGGCGUAAAGGGUGCGUAGGCGGUUUAAUAAGUCUAUAGUUUAAUUUCAGUGCUUAACACUGUCCUGCUAUAGAAACUAUUAGACUAGAGUGAGAUAGAGGCAAGUGGAAUUCCAUGUGUAGCGGUAAAAUGCGUAAAUAUAUGGAGGAACACCAGAGGCGUAGGCGGCUUGCUGGGUCUUUACUGACGCUGAGGCACGAAAGCGUGGGGAGCAAACAGGAUUAGAUACCCUGGUAGUCCACGCCGUAAACGAUGAGUACUAAGUGUCGGGAUUACUCGGUACUGAAGUUAACACAUUAAGUACUCCGCCUGAGUAGUACGUACGCAAGUAUGAAACUUAAAGGAAUUGACGGGACUCCGCACAAGCGGUGGAUCAUGUUGUUUAAUUCGAAGAUACACGAAAAACCUUACCAGGUCUUGACAUACUCUGCAAAGCUAUAGCAAUAUAGUGGAGGUUAUCAGGGAUACAGGUGGUGCAUGGUUGUCGUCAGCUCGUGUCGUGAGAUGUUAGGUUAAGUCCUAAAACGAGCGCAACCCUUGUCAUUAGUUGCCAGCAUGUCAUGAUGGGCACUUUAAUGAGACUGCCAAUGAAAAAUUGGAGGAAGGUGAGGAUCACGUCAAAUCAUCAUGCCCCUUAUGAUCUGGGCUACAAACGUGAUACAAUGGCUGUUACAAAGAGUAGCUGAAACGCAAGUUUAUAGCCAAUCUCAUAAAAGCAGUCUCAGUUCGGAUUGAAGUCUGCAACUCGACUUCAUGAAGUUGGAAUCGCUAGUAAUCGCGAAUCAGCAUGUCGCGGUGAAUACGUUCUCGGGGUUUGUACACACCGCCCGUCAAACCACGAAAGUUGGUAAUACUCAAAAACGGUAGCCUAACUUCUUCGGAAGAGGGAACCGUCUAAGGUAGGAUCGAUGAUUGGGGCUAAGUCCGUA
rnacentral:rRNA from 1 species